rnacentral:rRNA from 1 species
AGCGAACGCUGGCGGCAGGCCUAACACAUGCGAGUCGAACGAUCCUUCGGGAUAGUGGCGGACGGGUGAGUAACUCGUUGGAACGUGCCCUUUGGUUCGGAACAACUCAGGGAAACUUGAGCUAAUACCGAAUGUGCCCUUCGGGGGAAAGAUUUAUCGCCAUUGGAGCGGGCCGCGUCUGAUUAGCUAGUUGGUGAGGUAAUGGCUCACCAAGGCGACGAUCAGUAGCUGGUCUGAGAGGAUGAUCAGCCACACUGGGACUGAGACACGGCCCAGACUCCGACGGGAGGCAGCAGUGGGGAAUCUUGCGCAACGGGCGAAAGCCUGACGCAGCCAUGCCGGGUGAAUGAUGAAGGUCUUAGGAUUGUAAAAUUCUUUCACCGGGGACGUUAAUGACGGUACCCGGAGAAGAAGCUCCGGCUAACAUCGUGCCAGCCGCCGCCGUAACAC